UACGUAGGCGGGAAAUUAAGCCAGUAGUGAAAUCCCACAGCUUAACUGUGGAACUGUUAUUGAUACUGGUUUUCUUGAAUAUAGUUGAGGUAGGCGGAAUGUGUAAUGUAGCGGUGAAAUGCUUAGAUAUUACACAGAACACCGAUUGCGAAGGCAGCUUACUAAGCUAUGAUUGACGCUGAGGUACGAAAGCGUGGGGAGCGAACAGGAUUAGAUACCCUGGUAGUCC
rnacentral:rRNA from 1 species